AGUUCUCAAAAGUAGUAGGCUUGAGGCAAUUAUUCGGCUUCACACACAUGAUGUAUUGGGGGGUCGUUGAAUCAAGUUUUUUGAUAAAUCAUUAAGUUGUUCCUGUAAUUCAGUAAAUGCAACUUAUUUAUCAGAAUAUAUCGCCACUCCGCAUUUUACAACAAUACGGAGGUACUUUCCAAACACUUAAUCCUUUAAUCACUACUACAUGUAUAUUUCAAGAAUGUAGAGGAGGAAGUCAACAAAUCCUAAAGAACACAAUUGACUUCGACCAUUAAAAAUGAUGUUAAUCAUGAUAUGGGAUUGCUGAAGAACUAGACUCAGAUUCUGGAUACUCACAAAAAGUAAAUUACGAAACAAUAAUAGAAUGGUCGUUUAAGAAAUAUGAUCAACCUAUUUAUCAUUUUUCAGUAAUUCUUAGCGAAAAAAUAGAAUUGUUUUAAGUUAAACUCUAAUAAAAAAAUAUAUAUGUAGAUCAAAGUAAUCAGAGGCGGAUCCAUCACAUGCCCAGGGGGUCAGCUGCCCCCCCUCAAGUUUGGAAAAAAAUAUUUUUUGCCUAUAGUUCUAGAAAAAAAAAUUUAAUUGUCCCCACUCACUCAAAUCUAUGCGCCCCCCAGAAAACAAUUCAAUUGUGCCCAGAAGCACCCCCCCUGAGUUUUUUUCCUGGCUCCGCCACUGAAAGUAAUUAUAUGGUUCAAACAGAGAAUAUAUUGUGAUAGGUCACAAUGGUUCUAAGACAUUGUAAGGAUAUUUGUGUUAAAAAAAAAUGACUGAAGCACUAUUUUCUACAACUUCAACUGAAGAUAUACAUUAGGGGCAUACAAUCAACGAAUCCAGUGCCUGUACAAGAGGAGAGGCAUCAUGUACAAGCGUACCUCUCAUUGCUGCAAGACGCUAACUGCUUCAAGGUAUUCCAACUUGCAGGGUUAUGUGAACAUUCCAUUAUAACCAAACUUUUAUGUCAUUAUGCCACACAACUCCAUAUUUUCCUCCUCAGUGUUGUUUUAUUUGGUGGAUUUAUCAGUUUUAAUAUGGAAUGCCCUACUUCAGUUAGAUUGGCAUUGUUCUAAACUUUUAGGUCCAGGCAUGCAAGAUUAUCGGGUAGUGCUUGUAAAAUUUUGUCCCUCACGCUUGGAAACCACAUGUGAACGAGCAUAUCUGAUUUCUCAUGCUGUCGGGCUCUCAGCUUUUUGUAUGGGUUCUUAAACUUCAGCAAAUAAACUAGUCAGUUCUGAAGCCACAAAAUGAAAGUUAAUAAUACCUUAAAGCUCCAGCCAAUGGACGAAAAUUUGAAUGCAUUUAACGUUUUUUGUUCUUGUGCAAUAGAGGGAAUAAACCGACAACAAAGUGGCAACUUGAGUUUGUCCAACAGAUUCUGAUGGCCUUCCACAACAUAGUCUUUGUUUUUUUCAAGAAACAGGUUAGCCUCAUAAGUCACCUGAAAAAUAUGGGGAAUAUUUUAGCAAAAUAACGAUAUGUGAGAUUAGAAAAUGAACUUACGGACGUGAUCUACAAGAGUUUACCUUUCCUGCAAAGUGAUGUAGCGUGAAACUAUUUUGAGGACGUGUAGGUUUACUAAAUAAGGGUUUAGUUUUAAAUUUCUGGUACAAAUUCUCACAAAAUGUGUCAUGAGUAGCUGUUAGAGACGAGCUGCAUCAAGAAAUUAAGACAAAUAUUAGUCCACUAAAGGGAAAAGAGACACGAAAAUAUAUGCCUGAAACUAAACUUAAAUUGUGGUGCUCUUCCUUCCAUCCAAAAACGCACACAUGAUCACAAAUAUAUAUAUACUAAAAAUAUAUUGGAGCUAGGAAUUUGAUCUGGACGAAAUUCAAAAGAUUCAGAAUCAACAAAUGAUUAAGCAAGAUCAGAAAACAGCUUCAUACCUGCAUUCAUCUAGAAGUGCUAUGAUUCCAUCUGUACCCUGCAAAAUCAAAUUUGUUAGUUUUGAAAAUCCAAAAUGACACAUCUUAACAAUGACAGGUACGCAUCAAACUGAUUAAUUGGACUCAACAUGUGAGUCUAAGUUGUAUGACAGUACAAAGUUUUGGUUAUACAAACUUUCAAGAUAAAAGAAAGGAAAAGCCCAACAACAAUGCAUCAAGAAACAGUCAAACACCUCAAUAAGAUUUAGCACAUCCUGCGUAUCGACUACGUAGCUCCAUUCUAUUCCUUCUUUUGUAUACUCUUCCCGGUUCAUCCUCAACACAUGCUGCAGCCAUACAUGAACAUAGUUAAGCAAGCCUAGACACAAUUCUCAAAAAAAAUGAGCAAGAACUCGUGCAAACAAAGAGCUAACCUGGUUGAAAUGUUGUUGCAAUUUUUCAUUUGAAUAAUUGAAACAGAAUUGUUCAAAGCUACAUAAUUUAGAAAUCUGUUAGCAUCACAAGAUGGUUACAUGUUGCUUGGGAAAAUGAGAUCACUACAAACAUUGUACCUGUUAUGAUCAAAACUUUCAAAAUCCAGUUAUAUCAAGAACUCCAAUUAUUGAUUUUGAGUUUCCAUCUUGACCAAUUGAUUUGUUUAUUUUGUCCACAAUCCUAUAAAUAAUAGAGAAUAACUUGUAAGAACAUGAAAUAACAAAAGGCAUGUUCUAAAAAAUGUUUGCAUACAAAUACAUAUCCAAACAUAUAUGUUCCACCUCUCUACCUACACUUGAUUCAUUCCAUGAGCAUACUAUUAAAUUUACUCACCAAUUAAAUAGGCGAAAGUAUAUGCUUUUGGCUAGAGCAUCCCUGCUAUUAAGGGCUCAUUAGUUUUAAGAUUUUUUGUAAUACCCUCCUUGCAUGCUUUCAGGUACAUUCUUAAUCAACGCAUCUUCCAAGCUUUUGGGAUCACACCUAUAAAAUCACCUUGGUUAAUAGAUAUUCAAGGUUUCAACUAUGAAUAUUUCCUCUCUUUCUUGGUUUUAUUUUUGGCAUUUGGUAGGUGGGUGUUGAACCUCCAACCUGAAAUCGUUGCCCUACCACUGGGCUAACCAAUUGGCUAAGUGCACUGCACCAUGGAUAUUAAAAUACAUGUAAGAUUCAAAAGAUGAAAGAAGAGACUUACUUGAGUAGUUCGGCUGUCACGUCAAGAUGGAACCUAGUCUCUUUCUUAAUUGCAGAAGAGUCUUCCUUUUCUCCCUUUUCAAAUUCAAUAUUACCAAGGUGAAGGAUAGCAGCCACAACCCUAAAAAUUGCCUCCUGAAAAACAUUAUUUUGCGUUAUAAAUCUCAUAGGAAUAGGUGUAUUUCAGGUGGUUCCCGGGGGACAAAACCUGCCUCGUCCUCACUAAUUCCAACUAUCCAUAGCCUUUCUUGUUGCAAGAUAUCCAUUCAGCAUCAUUUACUCCCAUCAAGUUCAUAACAGUCAGAUGAUUUACGUUAAUUGAAACAAUUUAGGACCUUCCCAAACUCACUCUUUUAACCUGAAAUAGAAAGGUACAUGUCCAAUAGAAAGUGUUACGAAAGGUUGAUUACGUAAAGACCACAAACGAAUAAUAAAACAGAACAAAAGUACCUCUGGUGGUGCUGCACAGAGAAGAUAAAAGAUGUGAUAGUUACGUUCAGCCUUUGAAAUAUGGCAAACACGAGACCUCUCAAGCAUGUAAGUUUGUAUAGUUGCCCCAGAUAUCCGCCAAUUCUGGUCAAAGUGUAUCUCAACAAACUUGCCAAAACGACUACAUUGCAAUGCCAUGAUCAACAUAGUUAGAAGCAAAUUCAGCAGUUUGAAGAAGAUUUAUAAAUGCAUCAAACAGUCCCAAGGAAAAAGAAAAAAACUAUAGAUAGAAGGACAAAUAUGAUAUAACUGAUCCACGUACUACAGUUUAAUUAGAAAAGUUUAACUACCUUGAGUUGUUGUUAUUAACUGUUUUUGCAUUGCCAAAUGCUUCAACAACUGGAUUGGACUGCAAAUUUUGUCACCAACACCACCAAUUCAGGUAACAAUUUCCACCCAUUUAGAUCUUGUGAGGAAGAUAGAAAAUCAAGUUGAUUUUAUAUUUAGGAAACCUGGACAUAGUCAAUCUUACUUCUAAAAAUUUUCUGUUCAAAACCGUCCACCUUCAACUUUUGAUCGACCACGAGUAUAUGCCAGGAUAAUUCAUAAGCAUCUUGUUGUCUCAGUCUUCGGAACCACUUCACCACUUACCAAAAUGGAGACUGUGUUCCCUUAUUAAUUUCAUUCCCUGUUUUAACAAAUUGCAAAAAGUUCCAUAAAAUACCACCUUGCCGAUAUGAAUAUCUAAUAAUAUAAGAUUAAAAAUUACCUUAAGCAACUAUCUGCAACAUGCCAAAAAAAACAUGAGGACUAAAGCUCUCGAAUGUUUGCCUUCUUUAUAUUGUUCCAUCAUGGAGUAUUAUAUUAUAGAUGAGGUAAGCUUUCAAAUGGGUUAAUUGCAAUCAAAAUAUUCCCGCAUACGUCUGCAGAAAGAAGAAUAGAAAAUUAGAAUAUCAGAUAAGGGCUUUAGUUUUAUGCCACAUGUUAGUCACUUGUGUAACAUAUCUGAGGUAAAAUAAGGACUCACUAAAUUUCAUAUAAGCUUGGAUUGGUAGCUAAAUUUUGUAAAACCCCAGGUUCAUGCAAAUAUAAAAGCUUUGUCAUGUCAUCGACACCUCCACGAGGAGCUUCUAUAUCCUUUGGAAACAAUUUUGCUAUAUCGACUCGAUCCACCUGCAUUGGUUUUUCGAAUUAGGUGAGCUUCAUGAAAAACUGUAUGACAUAAUUUUUAGGGAGAGGGAAGGGAAUAAGAUUUUAUAUUGUUUAUUAGCAUUGAUAUUAUUCUUAAAAUGACUCAUAAACUUUAGACAUUUACUCAACAUACGUAAAAACCAUGAGAAACAGUGCCACACCCUACAGAUUCUUUGACAUGAAACUAUGUAGAUAUGGAAACCAUUGAGUGAACAUAACUUAUAACCAUGAAGUGCAAAUAACUUAGAGAAAACCAUUUUUCAGGAAUGCGUAUUGCUUCCAAGAGUGAAAGGGGAAAAGUAGAUUCUCUCAAACGUAACGACUAAGGGGAAU
rnacentral:lncRNA from 1 species